CUCUAGCUGACACUCUACUUUGGGAGGUGAAAUGGGAGCAAAUGUCCCUUCCUUUGAUUCUUCUUCACCCUGAGACAGAUUACAGAACCUAUCUGGAAAGGAUUAUAGAGAUUUGUGAUUUCAUUGGCAGAAGCAAUCCUCCAUAAGGAACUUCCUCAACCAAUAUAGAUGGGGAGGUCCUUUGUAAAGAAGUCUUAAAGAAUUGCCUGGGGCAGUGAGAGGUUAAGUGACCACAAUGAGUUAAGGCUGAAUUGCAAGCCAAAUCCUCUGGACUCCAAGGCAAGCUCUCUAUCCACCAUAUCUAGUUCUCAAAAAGUUCUUUACAUUGAGCCAAAUCUGCCUCUGUAAUUUCUGCCCGUUGUUCCUACAUCAGCACUCUAAAGAAACACAGAAUAAAUCUACUUCCUUUUCAAAUACUUGAAGAUA